AUACGGAGGAUGCGAGCGUUAUCCGGAUUUAUUGGGUUUAAAGGGAGCGUAGGCGGGAGCUUAAGUCAGCGGUUAAAUGGUGCGGCUCAACCGUGCCCUGCCGUUGAAACUGGGUUUCUUGAGAGUGCAAGAGGCGGAUGGAAUUUCUGGGGUAGCGGUGAAAUGCUUAGAUAUCAUGAAGAACUCCGAUUGCGAAGGCAGUCCGCUGGGGCACGUCUGACGCUGAUGCUCGAAGGUGCGGGAAUCAAACAGGAUUAGAUACCCUGGUAGUCCGCACGGUAAACGAUGAUUACCCGCUGUCGGCGGUAGACAGUCGGCGGCCAAGCGAAAGCGAUAAGUAAUCCACCUGGGGAGUACGCCGGCAACGGUGAAACUCAAAUGAAUUGACGGGG
rnacentral:rRNA from 1 species